CCACCUGCCAUGAUGACCGCAUCCCCCUUGCAGGUGCGCCAGGACUACCACCAGGACUCGAGGCUGCCAUGAACCGCCAGAUCAACCAGGAGCUGUAUGCCUCCUAUGUCUACCUGUCCCUGUCUUACUACUUUGACUGUGAUGAUGUGACUUUGAAGAACUUUGCCAAAUACUUCCUCCACCAGUCUCAUGAAGGAGAGGUAAUAUGCGGAGAAACUGAUGCAGCUGCAGAACCAGCACGGGGGUUCGGAUCUUCCUUCAGGACAUCUAGAAACCAGACCCUGAUGACUGGGACAAUGGGCUGAAUGCGUUGGAGUGUGCAUUGCACCUGGAACAAAGUGUCAAUCAGUCACUACUGGAACUGUACAAAAUGGCCACUGACAAGAAUGAUCCCCACUUGUGUGACUCCAUCGAGACUCAUUAACUGGAUGAGCAGGUGAAGACCAUCAAGGAACUGGGCGACCAUGUAACCAAUUUGCACAGAAUGGGAGCCCCCACAGCUGCCAUGGCAGAGUACCCCGCCGACAAGUACACCCUGGGACACUGUGAUAACCCGAGUUAAGGCCUGAGGCUGACCGUGCUGCAGCCGGGGCGCAGCUUCCCUGGCUGUGCACCAAGGCAGUGCAUGCACAUAGGGGCCACCUUGACCUUUUCUAUACACAGUACCAAAACAUCCACCUAUGUACUUUAAUUUGUACCAUCCUUUCAAAUACAGAAAUUUGGUACCC